rnacentral:rRNA from 1 species
UUGAAGAGUUUGAUCAUGGCUCAGAUUGAACGCUGGCGGCAGGCCUAACACAUGCAAGUCGAGCGGUAGCACAGGAGAGCUUGCUCUCUGGGUGACGAGCGGCGGACGGGUGAGUAAUGUCUGGGAAACUGCCUGAUGGCGGGGGAUAACUACUGGAAACGGUAGCUAAUACCGCAUAAUGUCUUCGGACCAAAGAGGGGGACCUUCGGGCCUCUUGCCAUCAGAUGUGCCCAGAUGGGAUUAGCUAGUAGGUGAGGUAAUGGCUCACCUAGGCGACGAUCCCUAGCUGGUCUGAGAGGAUGACCAGCCACACUGGAACUGAGACACGGUCCAGACUCCUACGGGAGGCAGCAGUGGGGAAUAUUGCACAAUGGGCGCAAGCCUGAUGCAGCCAUGCCGCGUGUGUGAAGAAGGCCUUCGGGUUGUAAAGCACUUUCAGCGGGGAGGAAGGCGGUGAGGUUAAUAACCUCAUCGAUUGACGUUACCCGCAGAAGAAGCACCGGCUAACUCCGUGCCAGCAGCCGCGGUAAUACGGAGGGUGCAAGCGUUAAUCGGAAUGACUGGGCGUAAAGCGCACGCAGGCGGUCUGUUAAGUUGGAUGUGAAAUCCCCGGGCUUAACCUGGGAACUGCAUUCAAAACUGACAGGCUAGAGUCUUGUAGAGGGGGGUAGAAUUCCAGGUGUAGCGGUGAAAUGCGUAGAGAUCUGGAGGAAUACCGGUGGCGAAGGCGGCCCCCUGGACAAAGACUGACGCUCAGGUGCGAAAGCGUGGGGAGCAAACAGGAUUAGAUACCCUGGUAGUCCACGCUGUAAACGAUGUCGAUUUGGAGGUUGUGCCCUUGAGGCGUGGCUUCCGGAGCUAACGCGUUAAAUCGACCGCCUGGGGAGUACGGCCGCAAGGUUAAAACUCAAAUGAAUUGACGGGGGCCCGCACAAGCGGUGGAGCAUGUGGUUUAAUUCGAUGCAACGCGAAGAACCUUACCUACUCUUGACAUCCACAGAAUUUGGUAGAGAUACCUUAGUGCCUUCGGGAACUGUGAGACAGGUGCUGCAUGGCUGUCGUCAGCUCGUGUUGUGAAAUGUUGGGUUAAGUCCCGCAACGAGCGCAACCCUUAUCCUUUGUUGCCAGCGAUUN